CACGUGACAUUUUGGUGCUGUGACUUGGAUCGGGGGACCUCCCUUGGGAGAUCAAUCCCCUGCCCUCCUAGUCUUUGCUCUGUGAGAAAGAUCCACCUACGAACUUGGGUUCUCAGACCGGCCAGCCCAAGGAACAUCUCACCAAUUUUAAAUCCGAUCUGCUUGGCUUAGCGGCUGAAGAUUGACUCUGCCUGAUCGCCUCAGAAGCCUCCUGGACCAUCAUGGAUGCUGAGCUUCGGGUAACUCUCACAGUGGAGGGUGACAGUCCUGGAUAUCUGACUAUUUUCUGGACAACUCUUGGAUGAUCUGAAACUGAAUGAUUCAUUCCACAAAUAGUUUUUAAAUAGUUUAAAAAUUAGCCGGACGUGGUAUCAGG